UAAGGAAUCUUGCACAAUGGGGGAAACCCUGAUGCAGCGAUGCCGCGUGAGUGAAGAAGGCCCUUGGGUUGUAAAACUCUUUCGUCGGGGAAGAAAAUGACUGUACCCGAAUAAGAAGGUCCGGCUAACUUCGUGCCAGCAGCCGCGGUAAUACGAAGGGACCUAGCGUAGUUCGGAAUUACUGGGCUUAAAGAGCUCGUAGGUGGUUAAAAAGUUGAUUGUGAAAUCCCAAGGCUCAACCUUGGAACUGCAAUCAAAACUUUUUAGCUAGAGUGUGACAGGGGAAAGUGGAAUUUCUAGUGUAGAGGUGAAAUUCGUAGAUAUUAGAAAGAACACCAAAAAGCGAAGGC
rnacentral:rRNA from 1 species